UACGGAGGGUGCAAGCGUUAAUCGGAAUUACUGGGCGUAAAGCGCACGUAGGCGGCUUUGUAAGUUAGAGGUGAAAGCCCAGGGCUUAACCCUGGAAUUGCCUUUAAGACUGCAUCGCUAGAAUCGUGGAGAGGUAAGUGGAAUUCCGAGUGUAGAGGUGAAAUUCGUAGAUAUUCGGAAGAACACCAGUGGCGAAGGCGACUUACUGGACACGUAUUGACGCUGAGGUGCGAAAGCGUGGGGAGCAAACAGGG
rnacentral:rRNA from 1 species